GGCGGACGGGUGAGUAACACGUAGGCAACCUGCCUGUAAGACUGGGAUAACUCCGGGAAACCGGGGCUAAUACCGGAUUAUUCUUUGCCUCGCAUGAGGGAAAGAUGAAAGAUGGUUUCGGCUGUCACUUACAGAUGGGCCCGCGGCGCAUAAGCUAGUUGGAGAGGUAACGGCUCACCAAGGCAACGAUGCCUAGCCGACCUGAGAGGGUGAUCGGCCACAAUGGGACUGAGACACGGCCCAGACUCCUACGGGAGGCAGCAGUAGGGAAUCUUCCGCAAUGGACGAAAGUCUGACGGAGCAACGCCGCGUGAGUGAUGAAGGUUUUCGGAUCGUAAAGCUCUGUUGUUAGGGAAGAACAAGUGCCGGAGUAACUGCCGGUACAUUGACGGUACCUAACCAGAAAGCCACGGCUAACUACGUGCCAGCAGCCGCGGUAAUACGUCGGUGGCAAGCGUUGUCCGGAAUUUUUGGGCGUAAAGGGCGCGCAGGCGGAUUCUUAAGUCUGAUGUGAAAGCCCCCGGCUCAACCGGGGAGGGUCUUUGGAAACUGGGGAACUUGAGUGCAGAAGAGGAGAGUGGAAUUCCACGUGUAGCGGUGAAAUGCGUAGAUAUGUGGAGGAACACCAGUGGCGAAGGCGACUCU
rnacentral:rRNA from 1 species